rnacentral:piRNA from 1 species
UGGGAUCGAUGUUCUGGCUGA